GGCACUGUGGCUUAGUUGGUUAAAGCGCCUGUCUCGUAAACAGGAGAUCGUCGGUCCAAAUCCGAGCAGUGCCU
rnacentral:tRNA from 2 species